rnacentral:lncRNA from 1 species
UAGACUAUCUUGAGAUUUUAAAAACCAAACAAACUCCUUUUAACAGCUCUUCAGAAGGAAAUCAAAUAGCAAGCAUGCACAAAUACUGUAUAGUUUUACAUGUUAGGAAAUUUAUGAUCUCACAGCUGAAUUUUCAAGAAGAACCAUUCAUUCUCAGCAUAUGAUGAAGGAAAAUAGCAUUUGAAUGCUGUAAGCAGUCAUGAACUGACACCACAUUGGAGCAUUUGAGUAAUUUAAGCUGCUUCUGAAGAUGGAAAAAGAAAAAGAAGAAGCUAUUGCAUUAACAGUUUUCUUCUUCAGGUAGGUGUCUUCAUUAAUUCUCAUUAAUAGCUCAUGAACAAGCAAUAACUGAAUCCUACAGAUAGUUACACAUUUAAAUACAUUUCAGUCAGGGGUUUUACCAUACUGAUUUUCUAGUUCCAUCUUUGCAGAGGUGGGUGCUUUAGUUAGCCUGGAGAGGACUAAGAAUUCUUAAACAUUAGAAGACAAGAAUUUUUAUUUUACAUGUACACAGAAGC